AUUGAACGCUGGCGGAAUGCUUUACACAUGCAAGUCGAACGGCAGCACGGACUUCGGUCUGGUGGCGAGUGGCGAACGGGUGAGUAAUGUAUCGGAACGUGCCCAGUCGUGGGGGAUAACGUAGUGAAAAUUACGCUAAUACCGCAUGCGAUCUAUGGAUGAAAGCGGGGGAUCGCAAGACCUUGCGCGAUUGGAGCGGCCGAUAUCAGAUUAGGUAGUUGGUGGGAUAAAGGCCCACCAAGCCAACGAUCUGUAGCUGGUCUGAGAGGACGACCAGCCACACUGGAACUGAGACACGGUCCAGACUCCUACGGGAGGCAGCAGUGGGGAAUUUUGGACAAUGGGCGAAAGCCUGAUCCAGCCAUUCCGCGUGCAGGAUGAAGGCCCUCGGGUUGUAAACUGCCUUUGUACAGAACGAAAAGGUUUCUACUAAUACUAGGAGCUCAUGACGGUACUGUAAGAAUAAGCACCGGCUAACUACGUGCCAGCCGCCGCCGUAA
rnacentral:rRNA from 1 species